rnacentral:misc_RNA from 1 species
GAUGAAGAACGUAGUGAAAUGCGAUAAGUAAUGUGAAUUGCAGAAUUCAGUGAAUCAUCGAAUCUUUGAACGCACAUUGCGCCCGCCAGUAUUCUGGCGGGCAUGCCUGUUCGAGCGUCAUUACAACCCUCAGGCCCCCGGGCCUGGCGUUGGGGAUCGGCGGAAGCCCCCUGUGGGCACACGCCGUCCCUCAAAUACAGUGGCGGUCCCGCCGCAGCUUCCAUUGCGUAGUAGCUAACACCUCGCAACUGGAGAGCGGCGCGGCCAUGCCGUAAAACACCCAACUUCUGAAUGUUGACCUCGAAUCAGGUAGGAAUACCCGCUGAACUUAAGCAUAUCAAUAGCGGAGGA